rnacentral:rRNA from 1 species
UACGAAGGGGGCUAGCGUUGCUCGGAAUCACUGGGCGUAAAGGGUGCGUAGGCGGUUCUUUAAGUCAGAGGUGAAAUCCUGGAGCUCAACUCCAGAACUGCCUUUGAUACUGAGGAUCUUGAGUACGGGAGAGGUGAGUGGAACUGCGAGUGUAGAGGUGAAAUUCGUAGAUAUUCGCAAGAACACCAGUGGCGAAGGCGGCUCACUGGCCCGUUACUGACGCUGAGGCACGAAAGCGUGGGGAGCAAACAGG